UACAGAGGGUGCAAGCGUUGCUCGGAUUUACUGGGCGUAAAGCGUACGCAGACGGUGAGAAAGGUCGGAUGUGAAAGCCCCGGGCUCAACCCGGGAACUGCAUCCGAAACCAUCCCGCUAGAGUAUGGGAGAGGGAAGUGGAAUUCCUGGUGUAGAGGUGAAAUUCGUAGAUAUCAGGAGGAACAUCUGCGGCGAAGGCGGCUUCCUGGCCCAUUACUGACGUUCAGGUACGAAAGCGUAGGUAGCAAACAGG
rnacentral:misc_RNA from 1 species